GCCCAACCCGAAUUGGUCAGACCUAAAAUGUCAAUCAUUGCUUUGAGUUCGGGUCGGGUCGUGCCGGGUUUCUCUCUCGCUGCCUUUUUGUAAAGAAAUAUG